GGAUUCCCCUAGUAACUGCGAGUGAAGCGGGAAAAGCUCAAAUUUAAAAUCUGGCGGUUUCACCGUCCGAGUUGUAAUUUAGAGAAGUGUUAUCCGCGCUGGACCGUGUACAAGUCUCCUGGAAUGGAGCGUCAUAGAGGGUGAGAAUCCCGUCUUUGCCACGGACUACCAGGGCUUUGUGAUGCGCUCUCGAAGAGUCGAGUUGUUUGGGAAUGCAGCUCAAAAUGGGUGGUAAAUUCCAUCUAAAGCUAAAUAUUGGCGAGAGACCGAUAGCGAACAAGUACCGUGAGGGAAAGAUGAAAAGAACUUUGGAAAGAGAGUUAAACAGUACGUGAAAUUGUUGAAAGGGAAACGCUUGAAGUCAGUCGCGUUGGCUGGGAAUCAACCUGGUUUACCUGGUGUACUUCCUAGUCGAUGGGUCAACAUCAGUUUUGAGUGCUGGAUAAAGAUUAGAGGAAUGUGGCAUCUUCGGAUGUGUUAUAGCCUUUAGUUGUAUACAGUAUUUGGGACUGAGGAACUCAGCACGCCGCAAGGCCGGGUUUUUAACCACGUACGUGCUUAGGAUGUUGGCAUAAUGGCUUUAAUCGACCC
rnacentral:sRNA from 1 species